rnacentral:lncRNA from 1 species
AGUUUCGGCAAGGGAUAUUGGGGUGGCGAAGGGGAGGCGGGGGCCCGAAGGCUUCGGAAAACGAUGGGGGAGGGGGCAGAGGAUACCCGUCGAAGCCCCCCCCUCCCCCAACAUUUCGAUAUUGGAAUCACUUUCCUUCUUCCUCGGGCCAGCCUUUGCUCUGUCCCCUCAGGUCAACUCAAGGUAGACAGUGUGGCGACUGGAGAGGUCGGGGAACAAGCUUUGUUUCAGCUAAGGGGAAAACAAGCGUUCACAGGAGUCCCCUGACACCUCCCACUCGGAAGAUAGCUAACGGGGGUCCUGCCAACCCUUCCCAUCCAACUUCCAUCUGAAAAGGAUUUUCUGCUAAAGUUGGGUCCAUGGCCAUCCAGCACCUGUAAGGCCGGCAGGAGCGUCUGCCCUCUACUCAGUUAAAGCCUGAAGUCGUUUCCUUUCGAUGGCCCUUAGGAGGCCCAAAAGAGGGGCGACAGAACAUGAUGUUGACACGGGCUGGGCGCCCCCAGAAGCCCGGGAACAAACGUUUCUACUUUCCAGGUCCACUGGUGUUUGGUGUACCCAUGUGACUAAUUUGUCCAAAGAGAGAUUUCUGUGAAUAGACCAGAAGCCGACCUUUACAGUGUGUUUGGGUGCAGGUGAGGCUGAUUUGAGGCAAAUGUGCUUUACAGAUCUACAAUCUUAUACCUCACUCUGGCUGAAGCACCAGUCCCCAAGUGCAGACUUCUUGCCUGUUUCCCGUGUAACACUGUCCAACUCUGAAGGCUCCUACCCUGACCUUGGCCCUUGCUAUUUUCUUCAGUGGUUCUGAUGAUGGAAGAAUCAGAAGUGCCUGGUGUAUACUGGAAAUAGGGUGGGUGGGGGGGGGGUGGCGUGUAUAUUUUCGGGGAGUAUUUUUCCUUUUUAUCAUCUCUAUUCUAACUGUUUUCUCUGGGCACAGCUUUGCUCUAAUUAUAGCAAAGGCUAAACAAGGUGAACUUCAGUCUAGGAAUUUUUAGUUCUAUAAUUUUAUGAGAGAGAAGACUUUUUCAAAUAAUUUCCUUGCUUAUUGGUUACUUUUUAACCUGCUUUGUGGGAUCCAUGCAGUUAAUUGAUUAAUCAUCUAAUUAUUACUGGCAUGGUUAUGGAUGUUACUUACAAUCUCAAGGCUUAUUUUCCUGCAAGUGGGCAUAAAAACACAAAUUAUAGGUUUGUUCUGAGUAUUAAAUGAGAUUAUGGCCAGUGCCUAGAACAUAUAUUUGAUGAAAAAAUCAAUUCAGUUCUAUUGACACCAGCAUUGAGAUAUGCUAAAUUCAAUGGUAAUUCUGAGUUUCAGAGUUCUGAGAAUGGCUUGAAUAAGUUUAUACUAACUUACAGUAGCAACAAUUGUUGAAUGCUUACUAUGUAGAAGGCAUAGUAAGGCGUAUGUUAAAUGUGUUGUAUUAACUUAUUUAGUUCUCACUACAGCAUCAGGAGGUAGGUUCCAUCGUCUAUAUUGUUUAGCUUGGAUAGAAAUAACUUGCUUAGGGAUAGCCUGUUAGGUCUGUCUGAUCCUGAGGUGUGUACUCCAAACUAUAUUAUACUGCCUUCCUGUGACCAUUUUCUAAAUACAAGUAUCAUAUUUUGAAAGUAAGAUACAUAAAAUUGAGCAGUUGUUCUGUGAUUACUGUGAGGUAGACUGUGAGUUGGGAAAUGUUACAUUUGGAGUGGAAAACAUUAUAAUUAUGGAUUCAGAAUUCCAUGAUCAGGGAUGGCUGGGGACAACUUCUAUUCUAGAACAUGGGUUGGGAACAUGGACUCUGGACUCAUAUUUUCUGUGUUUGCAUCUCAGCUCUGCCACUUUGUAGCUCUGUGACCUAGGACUAACUCAACUUCCUGAGUCUCAAUUUUCUUGUCUAUAAAAUGAUGAAAAUGCUGCCCAUCUCAUAGAGUUAUGAGGAUUAAAUGAGCGAAUACAUGUAGAUUCCUUAGAAUAGUGGCUGACACUUGGUAAGUGUCAUUAGAUAUCAUUAGCAUUUCUAUAUCUUUCACUUUAUAUGUCUCUUCUGGCUGUCUUCAUGUGUGCAUAGUUGUACUCUUGCUAAGAAAUGCAUAGAUUUACUUAAGGAUGUUGUGAAGCUUGUCCACAGAAUUAUAAUGUGGUUUUGGAGUCUUUAGUAUAUUAUAAUAGAGGGAAAAGUUAUUACUGUCAAUUUUUUCCACCUUCAAAAACAAUUAUUGCUUAAGAAUUACUGGGAUUAAUUAUCUUUUAAAUGUUUAAAUCUGAAUUCAUAUUUAUAAAAUUAAUACCUGUUCAAAAUCAAUAUUAGUAGAAGCCAAAUAUAUUGAGUGACUUAGUUGGCCUUAUCUUUAGUCAUAAUUUCAGAUUGGAAGUGAAAGCGAAUUUAAAAGAUGUGGUUGUGUAGAACCAUCUCUUUUAUUCUUUUUAUACAUGCAUGUGAGUGAGGUAAGUGGUUAGACAUAUUCUUAGUCUUUUUGCCCAGCUCAAGGAAGAGUUAAUAAAAUUACGUUAUGUAAAGUGCAUUGAACUCCUCAAGAGAGAAGUGUUACAUUAAUACCUGCCUCACAGUGAUGUUCUCAGACUUAAUGUUUGUAAAUUGCCUUGGUACUCCCAGUAACAUCCUGAUGAAGCAUCAUUUUGUUUUAUUGCAAGGAGCUCUAAGUUACACAGAAUACAAGUUAAGGGGGAAAUAAUAUCCCAGUCUUUAUUUUACAAUCAGAAGUACAUAAAAUAGAGAGAAAACAUUUUGUUCCAGUUGUGAAUGGUAAAAUUGAUCAUUUAUUUUUUUCUCUCUGUUACUUUGGGGAUGACGUAGAGUUUAUAAUGUAGUUUAAUUGAGCACUCAAGGUUAAAGUAUUUAAUGGCAGAAUUGGUGAUCAUGAUACAAAGAGAUCUUUAAGGACACUGGUAUUCAAAUUUUUAAAGUUAAAUUCCAAUUUUAAGAGUCAGUUUUUUAUAUGAUUACUAUUAAGUUUGGCAUUUUUGAGACAUGUCUUAAAUCGAUAUCUGUAAUACUUACAAACAUCAGUAGAGAGAAUCAUAUUGUAAACACAUAUUCUUGCUGUAGGGUACAUUUUAAAUGUCUAAACACUAAUCAAUAUAGCAAAAUUAAGUAUUGACUAAAAUAGCUUUAUAAUAAGUAAUUAUUGGUUUGCUCUUUUAGAAAUUAGACAUUUUCACUUUGGGAAUAAAGAGUAAAUUUACUGUCAUGAAAUUAAAGUGUUUUUGACCUUUUUGUACAACUUUCCUCUGUCUAUGAAAUGAUUAGGUUUAAAUAUGAUUGCACAGCUGUAUUAUGUUGCAAGCAUCAAUUUUUAAUUAUUAUAAGGUCAAUGUUAG